GACGAACGCUGGCGGCGUGCUUAACACAUGCAAGUCGAACGGUGAAAGCGGAGCUUGCUCCGCUGGAUCAGUGGCGAACGGGUGAGUAACACGUGGGCAACCUGCCCCUCACUUCGGGAUAACUCCGGGAAACCGGGGCUAAUACCGGAUAUGACCUCCUUGGGCAUCCUUGGAGGUGGAAAGUUUUUCGGUGAGGGAUGGGCCCGCGGCCUAUCAGCUUGUUGGUGAGGUAGUGGCUCACCAAGGCGACGACGGGUAGCCGGCCUGAGAGGGCGAGCGGCCACACUGGGACUGAGACACGGCCCAGACUCCUACGGGAGGCAGCAGUGGGGAAGAUUGCGCAAUGGGCGAAAGCCUGACGCAGCAACGCCGCGUGCGGGAUGACGGCCUUCGGGUUGUAAACCGCUUUCAGCAGGGAAGAAGCCGCAAGGUGACGGUACCUGCAGAAGAAGCACCGGCUAACUACGUGCCAGCCGCCGCAGUAA
rnacentral:rRNA from 1 species